rnacentral:rRNA from 1 species
UACGGAGGGGGCAAGCGUUGUUCGGAAUUACUGGGCGUAAAGGGUGCGUAGGCGGGUCUUUAAGUCAGGGGUGAAAUCCUGGAGCUCAACUCCAGAACUGCCUUUGAUACUGAAGAUCUUGAGUUCGGGAGAGGUGAGUGGAACUGCGAGUGUAGAGGUGAAAUUCGUAGAUAUUCGCAAGAACACCAGUGGCGAAGGCGGCUCACUGGCCCGAUACUGACGCUGAGGCACGAAAGCGUGGGGAGCAAACAGG